rnacentral:rRNA from 1 species
UACGGGGGGGGGCAAGCGUUGUUCGGAAUUACUGGGCGUAAAGCGUGCGCAGGCGGUUCGUUAAGUCAGAUGUGAAAGCCCCGGGCUCAACCUGGGAAUGGCAUUUGAAACUGGCGGGCUGGAGUGUGGCAGAGGGGGGUGGAAUUCCACGUGUAGCAGUGAAAUGCGUAGAGAUGUGGAGGAACACCGAUGGCGAAGGCAGCCCCCUGGGCCAACACUGACGCUCAGGCACGAAAGCGUGGGGAGCAAACAGG